UUAAGUUCAGCGGGUAGUCCUACCUGAUUUGAGGUCAAAUUUGUCAAAUGAUUGUUAGAAGCAGGACUGAUGCAGCAUAUGUAGGGGAUAGAUAAAUUAUCACACCAAAUAGCAGCUCAGAUACCACUAAUGUAAUUGAGGAGAGCGGACUUUGAUAAGCCUGCACGAACCCCCAGAACCUCUUGCCUCACCAUUCUGAA
rnacentral:misc_RNA from 1 species